UAUGAAGAACGCAGUGAAAUGCGAUAAGUAAUGUGAAUUGCAGAAUUCAGUGAAUCAUCGAAUCUUUGAACGCACCUUGCGCCCUUUGGUAUUCCGAAGGGCAUGCCUGUUUGAGUGUCAUGAAACCUCACCCCACUUGGGUUUUUGCCUGAGCGGUGGUGUAUUGGGUGUUGCCUUGCUAAAGGCUCGCCUUAAAGACAUAAGCACCUUGGAUGUAAUACGUUUCAUCCUUCUGGGUGGCUGAUAACCCCACAUAUUCAUGAUCUGGCCUCAAAUCAGGUAGGGCUACCCGCUGAACUUAAGCAUAUCAAUAAGCGGAGGA
rnacentral:misc_RNA from 1 species